GGUGUGUUUGGUGGGGGUGGAGGGUGGAAGGCUGUGAGAGCAGCGCCACCAUGUGGUCCUAGGAUCACUAUCCAGAGCAGAGACGGACCAGCCCAGAGCUAAGGGUGGGUCCCUACGUGGCUGCGCUCCUGGAAGGGGAGGCCAGUGGAUUGGACAUAGGUGAUGACAGUGCUCGACUGGCACGUGUGACCAAUGGCUGCUGUGCAGGACGGCACAGGUCUGGUGCGGGGAAGGGAGCGCGCACGUACGCGCGCGCGCGCGCACACGUCACAAAAGGUACAAAGUUCCGUGGUGGGAGAGACUGACUUAGAUUGGCCAUGUCAGGAAAGGUUUCCUGGGGGGGGGGUGGCAUUUCUAGCGGGCCUUGGUGGUUACACGAGACGUGAAAAGUGAAGAGACGAGGGGAGUUGCGGGUGGAAGAGGCUGGGUGCGUUCACACAGGAGCCAGCAGGACGGGGGUGGGUAAGUCAGCCUGGCUCUCAAGCCAAAGCCCGCCUGCCAUCUGCAUCUCUGUGAUCUAAGAGCUAAGAACAGUCUUUACAUUUUUAAAAAAUCAAAAGAAGACUAUUUCUUGACACCUGAAAGAUAUAGGAUACUGAAAUCGCCGUGUGCAGAAGUGAAGAUCUCUUGGAACACACUUCCCUUCCGUGCCAUGGAGGGAGCAAAGCCGAAGUCGGAUCCAGGGGCCCCCACCCCAGCGGUGGUCCCUGUGGUCCAGCCAUAGGCCCGACCCCCACAAGGACCUCAAAACAGUCCACUCUCCAGCGGAAUGAACCCCAGACUCCACCCGCUGAGAAGCCCCGUUGAUGAGAGCCUGUCAGUGGAGCCACUCGUCCACACACCUCCUGGGCAUGGGAGGGCACGGGGACCGCUCCCCGAGCACAAACGCCCCCACACCCCACUUUCUUCCUGGCCACCAGGGCCCGGCUGGUUAAGUUGCGUUGAUGGUGACCCUCAGUCUAUCGGUUUCACCAUGGGGAAAUAAAGGCCCAGGGAGAGAAA